GACGUAGGGCGCGAGCGUUGUCCGGAUUUAUUGGGCGUAAAGAGCUCGUAGGCGGUGUGUCACGUCGGCCGUGAAAACCUGGGGCUUAACUCUGGGCGUGCGGUCGAUACGGGCAUCACUAGAGUUCGGCAGGGGAGACUGGAAUUCCUGGUGUAGCGGUGAAAUGCGCAGAUAUCAGGAGGAACACCGGUGGUGAAGGCGGGUCUCUGGGCCGAUACUGACGCUGAGGAGCGAAAGCAUGGGUAGCGAACAGG
rnacentral:rRNA from 1 species